rnacentral:rRNA from 1 species
AGCGAACGCUGGCGGCAGGCUUAACACAUGCAAGUCGAACGCCCCGCAAGGGGAGUGGCAGACGGGUGAGUAACACGUGGGAACGUACCCUUUGGUUCGGAAUAACUUGGGGAAACUCAAGCUAAUACCGGAUAAGCCCUUAUGGGGAAAGGUUUACUGCCGAAAGAUCGGCCCGCGUCUGAUUGGCUAGUUGGUGAGGUAAUGGCUCACCAAGGCGACGAUCAGUAGCUGGUCUGAGAGGAUGAUCAGCCACACUGGGACUGAGACACGGCCCAGACUCCUACGGGAGGCAGCAGUGGGGAAUAUUGGACAAUGGGGGCAACCCUGACCCAGCCAUGCCGCGUGAGUGAUGAAGGCCUUAGGGUUGUAAAGCUCUUUUACCCGGGACGAUAAUGACUGUACCGGGAGAAUAAGCCCCGGCUAACUUCGUGCCAGCCGCCGCCGUAA